CUGUCACUUAUAGAUGGAUCCGCGCUGCAUUAGCUAGUUGGUAAGGUAACGGCUUACCAAGGCAACGAUGCAUAGCCGACCUGAGAGGGUGAUCGGCCACACUGGAACUGAGACACGGUCCAGACUCCUACGGGAGGCAGCAGUAGGGAAUCUUCCGCAAUGGGCGAAAGCCUGACGGAGCAACGCCGCGUGAGUGAUGAAGGUCUUCGGAUCGUAAAACUCUGUUAUUAGGGAAGAACAUAUGUGUAAGUAACUGUGCACAUCUUGACGGUACCUAAUCAGAAAGCCACGGCUAACUACGUGCCAGCAGCCGCGGUAAUACGUAGGUGGCAAGCGUUAUCCGGAAUUAUUGGGCGUAAAGCGCGCGUAGGCGGUUUUUUAAGUCUGAUGUGAAAGCCCACGGCUCAACCGUGGCGGGUCAUUGGAAACUGGAAAAC
rnacentral:rRNA from 1 species